rnacentral:rRNA from 1 species
ACGCCUACACAUGCAAGUCGAACGAAGUAGCAAUACUUAGUGGCAGACGGGUGAGUAACAUGUAGGUAUCUGCCCUUUGGCCUGGAAUAACACGAGGAAACUUGUGCUAAUACCGGAUAAGUCUUUACGGAGAAAGCUUUAUGCACCAUUGGAUGAGCCUGCACUUGAUUAGUUUGUUGGUGGGGUAAUGGCCUACCAAGACUGUGAUCAAUAGCUGAUUUGAGAGGAUGAUCAGCCACAUUGGGACUGAGACACGGCCCAAACUCCUACGGGAGGCAGCAGUGGGGAAUCUUGCACAAUGGAGGAAACUCUGAUGCAGCGAUGCCGCGUGAGUGAAGAAGGCCUUUGGGUUGUAAAGCUCUUUCGUCGGGGAAGAAAAUGACUGUACCCGAAUAAGAAGGUCCGGC